GCGUGAGAAUGAUCAGGAACAAGGGGAAACCCUUGUUCUUCAACUACUUACAAGAACUCAAAAAUUGAACCUGAUUUUGAGAAGAAAUCGAAUGCAUGAGGCUAGGUACAACUUAAUCUAAGUGUAUUGAUCAUAAGCAUUAGGGAUCAUGUGGACGUGGACUCAAGCACGAAAGACUAACGGGUCAAGAGGGGACAAGGAAGCCAAUGCGAAAAUGGACGCUCAAGGUUGUGCGGGUCACGGAGGAUCAUCAAGGAAUAAAGAUCAAAGACCGAGUCACUUAAGGGAUUGUACGGGGUUGUCUAAGGAUGUAAAUUGUUAUACAUAAGCUAUGAUUUAUUCUAUAACUGAGUCAGUUUUUCGUAUUUGAUAUAAAAGAGUUAUUAUAAAAGUGAACUUUCAAGUAAGACGUAAGGUUUAUAAUG